rnacentral:rRNA from 1 species
CCUACGGGUGGCAGCAGUGAGGAAUAUUGGUCAAUGGGCGAGAGCCUGAACCAGCCAAGUCGCGUGAGGGAGUACUGCCCUAUGGGUUGUAAACCUCUUUUGUAGGGGAGCAAAAUCCGGACGUGUCCGGCUGUGAGAGUACCCGAAGAAAAAGCAUCGGCUAACUCCGUGCCAGCAGCCGCGGUAAUAGGGAGGAUGCGAGCGUUAUCCGGAUUUAUUGGGUUUAACGGAUGCGCAGGCGGAUUUUUAAGUCCGUGGUAAAAUCGUGGGUGUCAACCCCAUCAAGCCGUUGAAACUGGGGAUCUAGAGUGUGCGAGAGGUAUGCGGAAUGCGUGGUGUAGCGGUGAAAUGCAUAGAUAUCACGCAGAACCCCGAUUGCGAAGGCAGCAUACCGGUGCACAACUGACGCUCAGGCACGAAAGCGUGGGUAUCGAACAGGAUUAGAUACCCCGGUAGUC